GACGAACGCUGGCGGCGUGCUUAACACAUGCAAGUCGAACGGAAAGGCCCUGCUUUUGUGGGGUGCUCGAGGGGCGAACGGGUGAGUAACACGUGAGUAACCUGCCCUUGACUUUGGGAUAACUUCAGGAAACUGGGGCUAAUACCGGAUAGGAGACGCUGCUGCAUGGUGGGGGUUGGAAAGUUUCGGCGGGUGGGGAUGGACUCGCGGCUUAUCAGCUUGUUGGUGGGGUAGUGGCUUACCAAGGCUUUGACGGGUAGCCGGCCUGAGAGGGUGACCGGCCACAUUGCGACUGCGAUACGGCCCAGACUCCUACGUGAGGCAGUAGUGGGGAAUAUUGCACAAUGGGCGGAAGCCUGAUGCAGCAACGCCGCGUGCGGGAUGACGGCCUUCGGGUUGUAAACCGCUUUCGCCUGUGACGAAGCGUGAGUGACGGUAAUGGGUAAAGAAGCACCGGCUAACUACGUG
rnacentral:rRNA from 1 species